rnacentral:rRNA from 1 species
GAGUUUGAUCGUGGCUCAGAACGAACGCUGGCGGCAGGCUUAACACAUGCAAGUCGAGCGCCCCGCAAGGGGAGCGGCAGACGGGUGAGUAACGCGUGGGGAUCUGCCUAGUGGUACGGAACAACACGGGGAAACUCGUGCUAAUACCGUAUAAGUCCUUCGGAGAAGAUUAUCGCCAUUAGAUGAACCCGCGUCUGAUUAGCUAGUUGGUGAGGUAACGGCUCACCAAGGCGACGAUCAGUAGCUGGUCUGAGAGGAUGAUCAGCCACACUGGGACUGAGACACGGCCCA